UCUCUUCUCUCCUCUCCUUCCCUCUCUUCUUCUUCUUUCUUUUUCCGGUGACCGGCCGGUGACCUCCCAAGCAGCUCCCCACCCGGCCGGCGACCCUCCGGCGACGGCAAGAGCCACCAGAAACGGCUACAAGAGAGGGAGAAGAGAGAGAAAAUGCGCGCACAGUGGGCAGCGGCUUUCCGGUGCGAUUUCGGCUUCAUUCGACGUCCGAUCGAGGCGAUUUAGGUGGCGUUGGAAAGCUUGUUCCGAGAGCUUUCUUUUGAUACCAAUUUUGCAGCAAAUGGAGGUCGGAUGAGUGAGAUAUGGAGGAGAGAAGUUUCGAGUUUUUUAAGCUUUUUCGUCAGAUCUAGGACGAUCCGACCGUUGGAUCGACGAUCCGAGACCACCUAUGGACUGAGGAAGAGGAGAGGAACAUGGUGGUAUGAUCAGAUCCGGCAAAUGUCACCGGCGACCGGCAGCUGGCCACCUUGCGCGGUGGUUCCGGCGGUGGCUCCGAUGGACUAUGAAGAUGAUUCAACUUCCAGAGGCUUCCUUAUAAAUUUUUGGAAUUUUUGAGAUACAGAUAAACUUCGGGUGAUCGAGAUCAGCUAUUUUUCUGCAUCCAGCAACCACAAUAGUCAUCGGUGUACUGCCACAGGAGGAGUUAUUUUACAGAGUAACCUGUUUUCUUCCUCGCAGGUUUAACGUCGAUUAUUUAAUUGUUUUACUAUCUUUUCUAAAUUUAAAAUCUAGAACUCCGCAUGCGUUAGUAAUAGUGUGGGCCUUGUUAGAAAUUGUGUUAAUUUAAAUUUUUGAGAUUAAUAAAUGAAGAUUUGUAUGGUAUUUAAACAGUUUAUAAAAGAGGUAACAGGGUUGAGCUGGGCUCCCCUGAUUUUAGUUUCUGAAAAUUUCUAGGCUAAGUUGGCCCGAAAUGAAAUUAUAACAGUUUGAUUUAAAUUAUUUUAUAUGCAUA